rnacentral:rRNA from 1 species
UACGAAGGGGGCUAGCGUUGUUCGGAAUUACUGGGCGUAAAGGGCGCGCAGGCGGCCCCUCCAAGUCAGGCGUGAAAGCCCCGGGCUCAACCCGGGAACAGCGCUUGAGACUGGGGGGCUUGAGUUCGGGAGAGGAGAGUGGAAUUCCCAGUGUAGAGGUGAAAUUCGUAGAUAUCAGGAAGAACACCCGUGGCGAAGGCGGCUCUCGUGGGACGGUACUGACGCUGAGACGCGAAAGCGUGGGGAGCGAACAGG